rnacentral:lncRNA from 9 species
GGGGGGGUGUGGGUGGGGGCAGAGAGGGGCGAGGGGGGCGGGGACCCGGUUGUGCAGAGCGCCUGCGUGGGGGUUGCGUGCGUGCCGUGGCGUGCGUGGGGGUUGCGUGCGUGCCGGGGAAGGGAGCCCCGGGAGCGACUGCUGAGGGACACCGCGGCGAGCGAGCAUGGGUGGAGGAGCUGAGGGUGUGAGCAGGGCUGCAGCGGGCAGGUCCAAGGCAGGUUUGUGUUUAUCUUGGUGAGAAGGGAAGAGGGUGCCUAGGAUGCUUGGGAAAAGGGGAUGGAAGGUCCCAGGAAGUGUUUGGGGGAAAGGUGCGUGUUUGGGGAGGGCCGAGGGGGGCGGGAGCGGCUUCAGGGCAGCGCAGGCGUGGGGGUUGGGUGCGUGCAGGGGAAGGGAGCGCGCAGGGACUUUGGAGGGCCACCGCGAGCGUGGGGGAGGGAGGUGAGGAUGGCAGCGGAGCCCCAGCUGAAAGGUUGAAGUUAGGGUUAGUUUUGAGAGGCAGGAAGAGGGUGGAUGGGAUCCCUUGGAAAAGUGGAGGAGAGGUCCUAGGAAGGGUUGGGCCUGUGCGAGUGCGGGGAGCAUGGAGGCGGGCGGGCACCCCUUGCCCCCCGAGCGAGCGUGGGGGUUGCGUGGGUGCAGGGGAAGGGAGGCCGGAGGGAAUGGAGAGGGACACGGAGAGCCUGGGGCCCUGCGGUGAGGUUGUGAGGGGCAUUCUAGGGGAUAGGUUCAAGGGAGAGUCUCCAUAACAGCUCUGCACGAUGGGAGGACCCCAAGACAGCAGCCCAAGGAGGACAGGCAUUCUCGUGAGACAGCCGGAAUCCAGGUCUUCAGCUCCUCUGUGGUGCCGCAGGGGCUCCUGGGAGUCCGCCAUCUUGUGGACAGUGAACGGCCAGCCGUCUGCUCUCUACUGGAUCUGAAGACAUCCCUGGGAGCAGAGCGGAUGUUGGUAGCAGAUUCCAGUAUGGGAAGCUCAGAGAAGGU